rnacentral:rRNA from 1 species
UACGUAGGGUGCAAGCGUUAAUCGGAAUUACUGGGCGUAAAGCGUGCGCAGGCGGUUUUCCAAGACAGAUGUGAAAUCCCCGGGCUCAACCUGGGAAUUGCAUUUGUGACUGCACGGCUAGAGUGUGUCAGAGGGGGGUAGAAUUCCACGUGUAGCAGUGAAAUGCGUAGAGAUGUGGAGGAAUACCGAUGGCGAAGGCAGCCCCCCUGGGAUAACACUGACGCUCAUGCACGAAAGCGUGGGGAGCAAACAGG